AUUGAACGCUGGCGGCGUGCCUAAUACAUGCAAGUCGAACGAAGUGGCGCACGGGUGAGUAAUAUAUAGUUAAUCUCCCCUACACAGAGGAACAACAGUUGGAAACGACUGCUAAUACCUACUAGUGUAGGAUGAGACUAUAUCGUAUCAACUAGUUGGUAAGGUAAUGGCUUACAAAGGCUAUGACGCGUAACUGGUCUGCGAGGAUGAUCAGUAAAAUUGUAACGGAGACACGGUUCAACCUCCUACGGCAGGCAGCAGUAAGGAAUAUUGCGCAAUGGGGGUAACCCUGACGCAGCAACGCGGCGUGGAGGAUGACACUUUUGGGAGCGUAAACUCCUUUUAUCAGGAAAGCGGUACCUGCUGAAUAAGCACCGGCUAACUCCGUGCCAGCAGCCGCGGUAAUUC
rnacentral:rRNA from 1 species